rnacentral:rRNA from 1 species
AGUCCACAUCGACGGGGAGGUUUGGCACCUCGAUGUCGGCUCAUCACAUCCUGGGGCUGUAGUAGGUCCCAAGGGUUGGGCUGUUCGCCCAUUAAAGUGGUACGCGGGCUGGGUUCAGAACGUCGUGGGACAGUUCGGUCCCUAUCCGUCGCAGGCGUAGGAAAUUUGAGAAGACCUGUCCUUAGUACGAGAGGACCGGGAUGGACGUACCUCUGGUGUACCAGUUGUCCUGCC